ACGGCAGCAAUGUUCUGACAACCUCACCAGGUUGCGGUUUAUAAGCCACAACAGUGCAGCAUUCUUGCCGCAACAUUUUUUAUUUCAUAAGGACUUGCAUGAAAUGAUGUGAUUAUCAUGUACAAAACCUUACAAAUCUGGUAAAGGAAAGGAGACAUGAAACAGCAUUCAUGUUAUAAUUUUUGUCUCUCAAAAACAAGAUUAAAAUAGGUUCAUGUAAUUUAAUGUUUAAUAGUUUAAAAAAGGGGGAUUAAAGAAAAGUUUUUUUUGUUGUUUCUUUGUUGCUUUUGUUUUUUUGUUUGUUUCAUUAUAUAUUUUUUAUUAUUUUUUUUUUGGGGGGGAGGGGGGGGUACCUGACAGGGUAUCAGGUUUGUUGGCGCCCAAUACACUUUCGCUUCCUUCACGUUUGCACCUCGCACAUUCGCACCAAAUUUUAAAUAAAAUUUCAGUUGGAUAAUUAGAAAAUCAAGAUUGUUGUUUUUAAUUGAUUUGAUGAAAAUACUGCAUGUAUUUAGCUUGGUAUGAGUAAAUACAUUGAAGAUUUUAAAUGAAAA
rnacentral:lncRNA from 1 species